rnacentral:rRNA from 1 species
CAGCCGCCGCGGGAAUACGUAGGGUGCAAGCGUUAAUCGGAAUUACUGGGCGUAAAGCGUGCGCAGGCGGUUGUGUAAGACAGGUGUGAAAUCCCCGGACUUAACCUGGGAACUGCGCUUGUGACUGCACAGCUAGAGUAUGGCAGAGGGGGGUGGAAUUCCACGUGUAGCAGUGAAAUGCGUAGAGAUGUGGAGGAACACCGAUGGCGAAGGCAGCCCCCUGGGCCAAUACUGACGCUCAUGCACGAAAGCGUGGGGAGCAAACAGGAUUAGAUACCCGCGUAGUCCCUGUCUCUUAUAC